CAAAUUUACCUUUGCAGGGUAGGGAUUGGGAUGGGUGCGGAAGGUGGAGGAAAUCAAGGAAGAGAAAUAUAUGGGCAAUUGGAACUUGUCUGGGAAGUGAGGUCAGGUUGAUUAGGGGAUACUGAACACAGACAGGAGGAGAGGGAGGACCACGACUUGAAAUGGUUGCAAGAGAAGUAGGUUCUUGGGACAGCUACAUUAGGAUCACGGAGUAAGGAGACCUUCAGUGAAGAAGCUAAGAGAGUAAGGGAAUUUGUUAAUUAAGGAAGAGAGUCUUUAGAGAGCAAGGGCUUUGGAGAAAUGUGAUGCUAGCACUUGGAUCAGGGAAGAAGAAACACCAAGCUAUUUAGGAAUCAGGAAAAAGAAAAGGAUGAUUAUUAGUAGGACCUCAGUUGGAGAAGAAAGAGUCAUGUGGCUGUUUGCCAAGGGGAUAAUGCAGUAAGAAGGCCCUUACCAGACCCUGAUACCUCAACGUUGGAUUUCCCAGUCUCCAGAACGGUAAGAAAUAAAUUUCUAUUGUUCAUAAAUUACUCAGUCUGUGAUAUUCUGUUAUAACAAUGCUAAACAAAUGAAGACAGAAACAGGUACCAGAAGUGGGGUGUUCUAGAAUCAAUUUCUAAAAAUGUGG
rnacentral:lncRNA from 1 species